GAAGGGUGAUCUUUCUUAGGAUUUAGAGGUUGAAAAGAUAAAGCCGGCUCUGAAGAACCACGCUUUAAGAGAACAGAUGGGAGAGACAUCAUCCAUGGGUACUCAACAGAAGGAAGAGCAAGAAUAUCGGCCUAUGUGGAGAGCAAGGUUAAAAGGAAGUAGGAGCUUUAUAGAAAUGAAUGUAAGGAUGAUGAAGUGCCAGGUAAGGUCGGUCAAGCAUGCAACAAAGGUAAAAAAAAACAAAAACAAAAACAAAAAAAAAACCAAAAAACAAAAACAAAAACAAAAAAAAAACACAAAAAAACAAAAAACAACAAAAAACAAAAACAAAAACAAAAAACCCAGAGCAUAGAAAUGUGAUUCGGAUUUUGCGAUGCAGCUACUUUCUUAUCAUACAUGUUGGGUGCCUGGAGCUUUCUCUUCUCCUUCCCUGGCUGGCAGUCAGUGUCCACUUUCUCACUAAGGAUGUGGCUGGCUGUCUUCUCUUCCCUCAGUACUUGAUUACCCUUCCUUUUUUGUCUACUUAACCCACAGCGAGGCAUGAGCCCACCCAACCUGUCAUGCAAUGCAGGCUGGAGGGAAGAAUUCCACCCUUGUUUUCUUCGUGACUUACUUGCUGGGCUCUGGACGAAGUGUUUUGCCUGAUCCACCCCUUGUGUUUUCACAACCAACCAAUGAGGCAGACAUAUCAUUAUCCCGACUUUAGAGACAAGGGCUCGCAGAUUGAAUGGGAUGGGUGGCUUGCUAGUAAUUGGCGGCGAGUGCGUUUGAAUUUGGGGGAAACCUGAUGAAGCACAUACUUCCCCACAGAGCACUGGUUGCUUGUUAUCCAGGUGCCGCGGGGCGGAGAGACUGGCAGGCUCCUGUCUUCUGCUCUCUGCCUGCAAAUUUUCAUCUGACUUAGCAGCACCAAGUGCCACCUUCAUCCUUCCCUAAUGGCUGAGAAGCAAGAAGUUAGAGUCCCUUUAAAGAAAGUCCUGGGCAGUCCUGAGACACUGGUGCCCAGGCCAAGUGUAUCAAGGUCAAAUCCUCUCCGUGUGCCGGUUUGCAUGGUUCUGCUUUCUCGUGUGUUCUCCCUUAGCCGGGCCAGAAUUGCCACGUGGUCUAUUGUGUCAGUCAGGGUUCUCUGACAGAACCGAUAGGACCGUUUAAUAUACACUCAAAGGGGGGUUAUUAGAGUGGCUUACAGGCUAUGGUCAGAAUGGUCUAACAAUGGCUGUCUCUUGGCAGAAAGGCUCCAUCGGUUGUCCAGUUGCCCAGUCCACAAGACUGAAUGCCUCAGCACUUCCUCUCCGCUGCAGCUCGGGGAAGUCCUAGAGAGAUGACAGUCUUCAGUCUACAUUAGAAUAUCAGGGAGCUUCCUCUACGUGCUCAUCAGUAAGAGUGAAGGCUCUGUCUAAGGAAGAUGGUGGAUGGCAUCCCAGCACCUGCACUUCAUCACCCGACUGUGGCAGCUUCUGCUAUUAUAUGUAACCUUGCGUUUUUAACUGUAGGGAAAAAGAAGUCACUUGCCCACCUAACAUGCCAGCUAUUGGAAUUGUAAGAACUAACCCCACUCAGGCAUCCCUUCUCUCAGUUAUUUCAAAAGUAAAGCAGGAAGAAAGAAGAACCUGCCUUCCAACUGUAUAGAUACAUGCAGCGUGUGGAAAUGAAGCCACUCCAGGGCAAACGACCCCCAAGAGUUCUCCGGAAGAUGGAAUUCUUCCCAAUUUUGUGUGUGUGUGUGUGUGUGUGUUUUCCUGUGAUAAAACAUCUUGAUAAAAGCAACUUAGGGGCUAAGGAAUUUAGUUGGUUCACAGUUCAUUUAUAGUUUAUUCUUGUGGGGAAGUCAGGACACCUGAGGCAUAUAUUACAUCCAUAGUCAAGACCACAGAGCAAGGAGUUUACGAAUGCACCAGAGUGCUCAGCUUGCUCUCUCCAUGCUCACAGAGUCCACCAUUUCCUGUCUAGAGGACUGUCCCACUGGGAUCAAUCUAUGCAGAAUAAUCCCUCACAGACACGUGCAUAACUAACCUAGUCUAGACAAUCCACAUUAGGACUUCUUAGAUUACACCUAGAUUGUAUUGAGUUGACAAUGAGCGCUAGUUCCUCUAGGGUCAUGAACUAGGUUCCAGCCACCUAUUGGGAAGGAAAAAGGUAAUGUGCCCCACAAAGUCUACUCCAUCAUCUUGGGUUCCUUUCUUUCAGUGAAGAUUUCCAGAAAAAAAGGGGGGAUGAAAAAAUGACUUACUGGGGGAAAUAUGAAAAACACCCAGGAUCAUAAUAAAAAUCCUUUCCACCAUGGGUUGAAUCCAGUCAGAGCCUGUCCUUUUUCU
rnacentral:lncRNA from 1 species